UGAUAACGUCUAGCUUAGUAAAGCGAUCCGCCAAAUAUAACCGGAAGGCCUAGGUUGUCGUAAAGUGAAAUGCCGUAAGACUUGAGCUUCUGUCGUAAUGAACGGCGGCAACUUUACAACACUGAAAAUACGGAAGCAGUCAUAGCAACAGUCCAGCUCGCAGGAUUCAAGUACUACAAAAACCCCAAAUCCGUCAAGACCAGAGUUGGAUAGAAAUGACAAGCCGAUGUUCUGGAGCCAGCCUGACACGCUCUAGUGGAUGGACUUUGGUAUAAUGAGUGACAACUGCAUGCUAGACAGUCCCAGCAAAUCAACAGUGAAAACAGAGAGAGCUGAUCCACGGGCCUAAUGGAAACCACUGGUGCUGUAAGUGCCCGUCUAAUGGUCCGGACGCAUAAACACCCACACCCACACCCAGAACUCAGUGUAGACUCUACGUCCCUCCCAAUCCCCAGUCCUGACAAGAUCCCGAAAAUCCUGGAUACCUUGUCUCCAGCAACCUUUCACUCAUCCCUCAGAGGCUGGCUGUGGGAUGGAUGGAGAGAGGCAUGGAUCAAAUGAAGGAAGAACUUUGCAGCUUCUUGUCCGUGCAAUUUAAUACACAGGAGACCCUAUCACAAUACUGAGAUGAGGCCCAUCUCUCAGGAUGCCUGACAAACGGAUGUCCAGGGAUUAGGCUACCCCAUCCCAGUGGAUACACACAGGCUCUGUUUUUGUUUGAGAAUUUGCUUUACUCCCUCGCAAAUGUCAAGUAUUUUUAGACAAGACUGUGUUGAAAUGCUGAGUGGAUGGACCGCACAGAACAUGCAUCAACACACUGGACGUCUUCCAUUGUGGCAGCAGGUGAUGCCUCAUGCCACUAUGUCUCUGCUGCAAUGUGGCACGGCUUCAUCGGCUCCUCAAUACUGUAUGUUUUGUACAUUGCUUUCAGUCCCAUCUGUGAGUGGAGCUAGUCUGUGACUGUGACUGGUUCAUUUUUCCAUGUAGUGAUUGGAAACAGAGUAACAUGCAUAGGUUACAGCACUACCCAUUGCUGUGAGUUGCAACAGUCUGGUUAUUGUCAUCAUCACAAUUGGUCCCAUGAAAGAGAGACAGCUAAUACUAGCUAGACCCCCUCCUUUCUAAUAAUACAGGACAGACACAGCACGUGACUCUGCAGGUGUUGAACUAACAAAAAGAAACCCUGAGUGGGAAUCAAUGCUAAUGUGAGCAAGCUAGGCUAACUAGCUUGAACUCUGAGGAAAAACGAAAAAUGUAUAGCUUGAUGGGUGCUCCCAAAUAUUUAAUGUCGCAAAGGGACAGAUGUCUCAUAUCACAGCUUAAAUCUCAACAGUAUAAGUAGCCACUCGAGGGGGAUAGACAGCUUGAAUCUGUAUUUUUAGCCUUCAGCGCUAUGGCGGUUACAGUUGCUAACGCACCACCGCAAUUGACGCGGCGUCCUGUAGCAUUGCUGGUCCUCAGAUGUCUGAAACAUGGGAAAUGCACCUCCAGGUGAACCAAGUGACUCCGUUUCCACAAAUAUCUCAAUUUUUGCAGUAUCAUUUUAAAUAAAUUGCA